AGUCACUGACAUUAGAUACCCCGGUAGUCCAGGGUGUAAACGCUGCAGACUUGGUGUUGGAAGCCCUUUGGGGGCAUUCAGUGCCGGAGAGAAGUUGUUAAGUCUGCUACUUGGGGAGUACGUCCGCAAGGAUGAAACUUAAAGGAAUUGGCGGGGGGAGCACCGCAACGGGAGGAGCGUGCGGUUUAAUUUGGAUUCAACACCGUAAAACUCACCAGGGAAGACUGUUACAUGAAGGCCGAGAUGAAGACUCUGCUAGAUUUUCAG
rnacentral:rRNA from 1 species